UGGCAGCAAGCGGAUGUGCGUUUCGUCGGUGGAGCGCGGCUGGAUUUCCCGUCGUGGCUCUACGCGAGAGACUCUCACCUUUUCUCCCCCUUCCCCCUCUAACUGUCUGUGUCUCUCUCUUUCUGUUCCGUUUCGCUCGUCUCUCUCCCGUCUCGCGGCGUGCAUCGCGCGUGUCAUCCGCGCCGCGAAAGCCUGCGUCGCGUGUGCUUGGUGCUUCUUGGUGUUCGUCUGUCCGCCGCGUGUGCGACGGCUUGCCCUCCGCGAGGAGGUGAUACUACACAACACAGUGGCAGUGGUGGGCCGCGGGUUCUCGCGGGGGGGCCCGUGCGUGCGUGCGUGCGCGCCGCCGAAGGAGAGUCUCGUUCGUCCGUGCACGGGUACGCACAACGCGACGACGACGACGACGUUGGACUCGUCGAGUGGUCGUGGUGUGUGCUUGCACGGCGGAGUAGCAGUUCGCGUCUCCUCGACUCGUCGCGCCUUCCGUCCGCGUCUCCUUUCUCCGUCGCGUGUCUCCUAGGAACAAGCGUCGUCUCCCGCUCUUCCACCGAGUCAACCCUUCGCCCCUGGGACGGUCCUGACGAGGACGCUGCUACGAGUGCGUUUGACAGACGGCGGCGACGGAGAGAAAAAGAGAGAGAGUGGAGCGGCGUGCCGUGAUUGGAGCAGUGGCGCGCGGCGACGGCGGUGUGUGUUCAUGCAUGCGUGCGUAAACGUCAAACAUAACCUGCGGAACGUUCGCUGUCGCGAGAACGGAUUGAAAAAGAACGUGUUGAUCGCAUUAACGGAAACGCGGACAGGUUCCCCCGUGGGAGCGAAGAUAAGGAAAACGGUGACGGCCGGUGCGUGAUCGAGCGAGAGAGAGACAAGGAUACGGCGCGAUAAAGGACGUCGUCGCUGCUUCACACCUCCUCCCUCCCUCGUCUGCGAAGCAGUAAGAGGGUAAGAGACUGCGCGGGCAGUUGACGAAACCGACCGCGUAUCAUCGCCGCGACGAGUGAGACGGAGGAGGGAGAGAGGAGAUCUUACGGUGCGGUAGCGUCAUGCUCGUCGCGUGAGUCGCCACUACUGUCGAGACGCGCGGUCGGGAUCGAUCGAUCGAUCGUUCCGUCGAUCGGUCUGCGCGGAGUCGGGGCCCGUCAGGGACGUCAAGCAACGCGCCCCCGACGAAACGUAAUAACGGUGGCUCGCUGUGCUAGCUGGAGGGCGAGGGGGCGCGCCGCCGUCUCGUGAAGAGCGCGCGGGCCUGCUUUGAUGGCAGUGGUCGGGCCCAGCCGGCACUCGCGGGUGUCCAUGAGCGUGUCGAUACCGCUGAUGCAGGGCGGUGGGGCGGGGGCGACCGGCGCCGCCGGUGGCGGCGGCACCGCGGCCGGGGCCCAUCCGGGUCAAGCGGUCCUCGCGGCGGCCGCUGCCGCCGCCGCCGCGGCCCAGGCGGCGCCCCCCACUUAUUAUCACACCGCGGCACCCGCGCCCCCGCCGCCACCACCCGCCCAGGAUCCCGUCCAGGACAGACCCAUCGGCUACGGGGCCUUCGGCGUCGUUUGGGCUGUCACGGAUCCGAGGGAUGGCAGGAGAGUAGCCUUAAAAAAACUGCCGAACGUCUUUCAAAGUCUCGUGAGCAGCAAACGAGUCUUCAGGGAGCUGAAGAUGCUUUGUUUCUUCAAACACGAUAACGUCCUCUCCGCGCUGGACAUUCUGCAACCACCGCAUCUGGACUUCUUCCAGGAGAUAUACGUGAUCACCGAGCUGCUCCAGAGCGACCUGCACAAGAUCAUCGUCAGCCCGCAGCAUCUCACCCCGGACCACAUCAAGGUCUUCCUUUAUCAGAUUCUACGAGGCCUCAAGUACCUUCACUCGGCCCGAAUUCUCCACAGGGACAUCAAGCCGGGGAACCUCCUAGUGAAUAGCAAUUGUAUAUUAAAAAUCUGUGAUUUCGGAUUGGCCCGGGUGGCGGAGCCCGAUCAGAACGUGCACAUGACCCAGGAAGUGGUGACACAGUAUUAUCGCGCGCCGGAAAUCCUGAUGGGCGCGCGGCACUACACCGCCGCAGUGGACGUGUGGAGCGUCGGUUGCAUUUUCGGCGAGCUCCUUCGCCGGCGGAUCCUCUUCCAGGCUCAGAGUCCCGUGCAACAGCUCGAGCUGAUCACGGAACUACUGGGUUCGCCCACUCUCGAGGAGAUGAGGUACGCGUGUGAGGGCGCGAAAACGCACAUGCUAAGAAGGGCGCAGAAACCACCCUCGCUCACGUCACUGUACAAUCUCAGCACCCAGGCGACGCACGAGGCCGUCCAUUUGCUCUGCCAGAUGCUAGUCUUCGAUCCCGACAAGAGGAUCACCGUGGUGGACGCCCUGGCGCAUCCUUAUCUCGACGAGGGCCGACUGCGGUAUCAUUCGUGCAUGUGUACGUGUUGUUACACGACAAGCGCCGGGAUGCGGCAAUAUAGGGUGGACUUCGAGCCCUCGGCAACUCAUCCCUUCGACGAUCUCUGGGAGCGAAAGCUCACGAGCGUGCAGCAGGUGAAAGAGGAGAUGCACAAAUUUAUAGCGGAGCAACUGAACCCGUCGCGAGUGCCGCUCUGCAUAAAUCCGCAAUCUGCAGCGUUCAAGAGCUUCGCGAGUUAGAGCAAGCCGAUCGCCGAACCAGCGGCCUGUGCCGCGUAUACAUACACGUUACUACUUCUACUACUACUACCACUACCACUACCGACUCAGCUAUCUACCACUGUCAGCUACUAUCGACUACUACCGCUAUCGUCUACUACUACUACUACUACCGCUACUACCACUACUACUACUACUACCAAUCGUGUUACGCCUCCUCCUGAACGAACCGAACGAACCGAGAGUCAGCUAUAGUCGGCGCGACCUCGCUCGCAGAGUUCUGAAGUUCCGGCUUUAAAAGCAUCCAAGUACUCGAAGUGAUACAAAUUAUUUCUCCACGGUGGCUCACCCCUCGGAAUUGCCACCCUCUCCACACCAGUGGGAAUAAAAAAAGUCUUCCCCGUUCCCGUCCCCGAGACCCAAGGACCCGAGGGUGACUUCGCGUCGCACUCCAAGGAGAAGAAGAAUCUUCGCCGACCGGAAGAUAGUAAUUCGCCGGAAGAGAAAGGAAGCGGAGGAGAAGGAGGAGGGGAAAAGGAAGACUAGGGGACUGGAAGCUGCGGAGAGAAAAGAGCCAAGAGAGACAAUAGACUGCCGAGCACUGUAGCCUCAAUUUUUCGACUAGCUGAUACAUCUACAUACACAGGAUGUCGUGAGAAAUGCGCGGAAAAUGGCGAGGACGUUCGACUCGAGGAAUUUGGGAGCUUUCGCGAUUUUUCUCGGUGACGUAUCACUCCGGGAAUUGGGAGAUUAUUCAGCUUCUUCGUAACGGUGAACUUCGCGAAGAAUCUUGAAGUGUUUCCAAUUUUUCCGUGUAAAUAUAUUACCUCUCGAGAUAACGGGAGACUUUUCUUAUUCGCUUUCAAGAAGACGCGCUUCUAAAUAAGUUUCAAAAUUUACCUAAAUUGCAAGAUAGGAGAUUCGAUUUCUCACAGAUUCGGAAUAUUUCACACUCGGAUUACCAAAAUUUCAUUUUAUUCUCAAAAUAUCGCGAAUUAGAUUUUCUCACGAGAUCCCAGCGGUACUCACGAGAUACAAAGUGAGCUCCGAUUCUAAGAAGUCUUCUAAGGAUUAAUAUCGAGAAUUAAUAAAUAUGAAAAUAAGUGAUUUAAGAUUAAGUAAUAAUGUUUCCACAUCCGUCAAACGUUCUUCGGGAAGAUAUCGAUUUCCAAGUUCCGAAUUUGGAUUCCACAAUGACACUUAAUUCACGCCAUACUUCUUCCAUGUAUUUCAUCGUGCAUCCUGUGUUAUGUUGUGUGUAUAUAUAGCAAUAUAUAUUAUACAUAUUAUACGUUGUAUACAUACAACCGGAGGGGGGGAAGAAAAAAGAAAGAGAGAUGUGAGAGACACAUAGACGAACACACACCUACACAACACACAUUAGCCAAUUUAAAACACGAAGUAGCUAAUUAAUUCCGAAAGCGUUGGGCACAGAAAGGGGAGGGAUCGGGAGGGAUUCCCGAGGGCGGAAUCGUGGGGUACCGUGAAAGAAGGAGAGAGAAAGACAGCAGGAGGGGAGAGUAAUAGUUAAAAAUAGCGAAUAGUAAAACGCGUCGAAAAGACGGGCCAGUCCUUUUUUCUCGUUUUUUUCCUUUUUUUGCUCUGUUAGAUUUUACACACGUGUAUGUAUAGGUCGCGCGAGAAUAACUGGCAUUUAAAUAAUCGAAUACGUGCGCGCUUGCGCGGGAGGAAAGUGCCGGAGGGAAUGUCCUCAUCCUGAUCGAGGAUCUUCGACGACGAGGCGCGCUUGAGGAUAUCCCGAGGAGGAUCGAUAUCGCGGCAAAGAGAUCGCUCGGAAUCGACAAGAUGUCUCUCGAAAAUGCCGCCUCGUGAAUGAAACCGUCCUUGCAAGGAUUUCUCUCGAGGAUGUUGCGUGAUGAUAAGGUUAUCGUUUCGAAUCGAACGGCACUAGGACAGCUUAUUGCUCGAAGAUGCUUCGAGCAGCGGGAAGUUAGCACUGAAUUGAUAGGAUAUCUCUCGAGACUGUCGCUGAAAAUAGUGUCGUCCUCGAAAGGAUAUCCCUCGAGGAUGUCGUAAUGACGAGAUUGCUUUGAACCGAGCGGUCCUCGACAGGGUAUUACUCGAGGACACCUCGAAGAGCGAGAAAAUAGCUUAAAAUCUGAUCGUCCUCGAUAAGGUAUCUCGUGAGGAUGUAGCUCGAGAAAAUUAAUCCUCGGCAGGGAUUUUAUUCGGAAAAACCUCGAGGACCAAACGGAGCACUCGCGAAGGCCGCUUCGAAUUAAAUCGAGUCGUUCUGGAGUCGCUCGAGGAUAUUUCGAGCGGCACGAAUCCACUACAUCCCCAAAAGAUGAAGUAUCGUCCGAGGACAUGUUGUAUUCAAUCACGACAUUUAUCGCGGAUCUCUCGACAGAUCGGCGAUAGCUCGGCCAUGAAGAGGAAUCGAAAGGAAGCGGAAGAAGGAAGAGGAGAUCGACGAACCGAACACGACGCUCGUCAUCACAUCGAUCCUUCUUAAGAGAAGACUGGGACAACCGUGAAGAAACUACAAAGAAAGGACUAAACGCGGACGGCGAGUCGUAUAUAAUGGAUAGCGAGAUCGCGACUCACGGCACUUUUCCUCCCUGAUGUCGGCACGACGGGUAAAACGAAGCAUUUAAUUCCACGAGCGACGAGCGUUCGCCGGGAAUAAAGACUCGUAAAGUCUCUCCGAUUAAGGUGUCUUUCCUUGGACGGUAGGAUGGAAGACAGAGAAGAGACGGAGGGAGAGAUAGAGAGACGGAAAUUCGAACGGUUGCGCGCGCGCGACGAGCGAAAAUAGAGGGCGGGAUCGAGGAAUGUCGAGAAAAACGAGAUGAUCGUGGCGACGAGUCAAGGAAAUGCGAAAAUCGUAGAUUCACGUAAAGAAGGCAUGUUAUUCCACAGCGGACAAUGUAGGAUACAUUGCGAAGCCCUCGAUUGUCUGUCGCGUUACGCACUAUCCCGAAAAUUUUACACUCGGGAGGAAGAACUCGCGUCUACGAACGCGCCGGUGAAUUCCGGAAGAGAAAAGAACGAGUCUGUCUUUCGAAACGGCUCGGAAUGGAUGAUUCGACGUCGCUCGACCGACUGGAAGUCGGUUAAGAGCAAAGAAACCAGUUCCAGAUUAACGAAUUCGAGCAGAUUGAAGGAUACGACCAGGGAAUUCUCGAGGGCUCGUCGACGAAAAUUCGUUAAAGUAGCGGGAGAAUGAAAUCGCGUCGUUUCUCGACGAUCGAUUUUCCACGACUCGUUGCCACGAUAGGGCAGGACGAUGGGAAUUCUCCUUCGCGUUCUGCUUCCUUCGUUUCUUUCGCACGGAUUUCUUCCCGACACGUCGCGCCGCGCGUCGUACGUUCGCUCCUUCUCGUCGCUCGAAUGAGCCUCGAACGAUGAGAAUCAGAUUUGGAUCUCAGGCUAGGAUGUAGGAGAAGCUGGUGUGAGGAAGUCCUACGACGACGUCGCCAGUGUCCCGCAGGACUCUCGCGAUCCCGUCGCGCAGGAGAUGAGGGGAGGAGUAUAAGCGCGAGUUCUAUGCGCGAGUAUCGACGUCCGACGACUUUCCGUCGCAGGCCGAUCUCGAAAAUCCCCGUGUCGGUGGGAAAAUGCGCGAUUUUCGUCGCGUCUCCGUUCCUCAAAUACGACGACGAUGACGACUGCGACGAAGACAAAGACGAAGACGAAGACGAUUUUCCGUGCGAGCGCGAGUCUCCCUCGCGUGCAGGAUCGCGAUUUAUUAUUCCAAUAAACACACUGCCGACGUAUCGUGCGAGCGCGACGGUAUCGAUACGAGAGAGCAAGAGAGAAUGAGAAACAGAAUGUAUGUGUGCUUAGUCUGUAUGUUGUGUGUGGAUGUGCGAAGUGAGAGAGAGAUAAUGAAAUGUAUAAAGAAAUCUAGUAGCGGUAUUCUCUAUUGUAUUGGUGAUAUUUGGCCGAUAUCUAUUGAAAAAUUAAACGAUUAAAAAGAAUGGAGUGAUUGUAGCGAGCUGAUGCGAUACUACGCAUUCCGAUUAUCUUAGACGUAUUGAAUCGCGCCAACUUGAUGCUGUAGUUACCGCAAAUAUUUUUCAAUAAUUUAGGUUAUCGGCAACAAAUAUGCCGCAUACAAGAUACCAAGUUUGAGACCGACGUAAUUUUCUUAGUUCAGUCGAGGAGCUUACUUCCAAGCUGUCUUAAAUCUAUAUUUCUAAAUGGACAUAAUGUUGCAAAGUUGCGAAAAGCUCACGAUAAACUCGUAAGAUCGCAACUUGCAUUCGUUAGAAACAAAAUUUAAGAUUGCUAGAAAUGGCUUUUCAGUUUGUCACGUUCACGUCUUGUCAGGAACGAAUCGUCCCGUUCUCGUAGAAAUCGAGAAAGAAAUGAACAUGGAACGAAUUGUAUCGUGAUGAUUCGAACUUGGACUAUUACGCUCGGGCUCAUUAUGCAAUGAGAAGAAGCUACAACGGAGGAUCGAGACGGGAGGAAGCAAUGGAUCGAAGUCGUUUUUCGCGUAAAUAAGUAUCUACGAUUAUUUUCGAACGCGUCUUGGUAAAGGAAGACCGGAGAUGUAUAGUAAGAGCGGAAGGACGCACGGUACACGUAAUUACUGAGUUCUGAGUGUGAUUUUAGAUUAAGGGAUUUUUAGCUAGAUCGCCAGUAGUAGUUCACGGCAGUGUUGGGCGAAAUGUAUUCGUGAGUGACGAAUAAAGAUUUUGAACGCGUUGGUAAAUGUAUCCAUAUACGUAAAAUAUAUAAAGAGUAACAACCGCCGAUAUUUCCCGAUAGUGUGAGAAUGUGCGCAUCAAUAUAAAUGUACUAAUAUACAUCAAGUAUUACGCUAAUACGUACAAGUUUUCAAGCAUUGAAUUUGACGUAGAUGGAAGAGAAGUCAAUCGAUCGAAACUAAAUAAGCUACCGCUAUACAACUGCAUUUAAACGCACUCGAAAACUAUGCGCAAACGUAUGUUCGAAAUCGCGCAUUAUUCGGGAAUACACUUCGUCCAACACUGUUUCACGACGAUACCUUACCUAGGACAAAGCAGUGAAACAUGAAGUAGUAGAUAGUAGCGAUUUAGUGCGAGACACGCCCGCCCACAAUUCGUUUUGGUUCUCUGUCGCUGACCGGCAGAAGGAAAACGCAUGUGUUCUCUUUUUUACACAGUGAUUCGCAUCAGACAACAGAUCGGAUUAAAAAAAGCGAAGAGGAAGAAUAUGAGAGAUCGCGCGGACUUACCUUGUCGCAACUAAUUAAGUAGCCAUUAAUUAAGCGUGUGGUCCACAGAGGAGAAUGCGUUCUAAGAAUGCGAAUCGCCGAGAAAGAAAAGCUCUACUCAUGGAAACGUUAAUCCUUUAUUUCGCUUAUCUUCACGUGACAGUAUUUCUCGUCGUAAAUUUUCCUCUGUUUCGUGCUUCUUUCGCCCAGAGACUCGCGAGAGAUUUUAACAAUUUUAUGCUCCAUAUGUACUCUCUAGAGUUCUCAAUAUUAAAAAGUUUAAUUACAAAAAACGGAGAAGGGUACACGAUCGAUAAAUGUAGAAAGAUAUUUUAGUGAAACGGAGUAUAUUUUACCAUAAAUUUGAUAAAUAUUAGACAUGCGAAAUAAAGGAAUAGCGGGUCACAGCAGUCAGGCAUCGAGAAUCGACGAUAUCUUAAGAAUUCAAAGAACGCGAUUGAGUUUAAUCUGCGACAACGUUGCCGGACCGAUUGAAAUGAUCCUACUUGUUUAAUGUUGAAUGCUACACUGGAUUCAAAUGUGAGUCCCACCAGGUCUGAAUUCCUUGGCCGUCGAUCGUAUACAGAGUCAGAUUGCUUAAACACAUUGCCAAGUGUGCGAGUUAUACUCAAUUAGUAAUAAUGCUAAUUAUCGUAUUAAUACUAUUACUAAUCGUAAUAGUAAUAAUACUUACUGAAUACUUAGUAAAAUGAUUCCUAAUUGAAUCAGUAAAGCCGUCGCCCACAAACGUGUAAUGGGGUCCCUGCGAAAACUCACGCAUCAUUCAAGUAUGAGUUACGUGGCACUCAACGUAUCAAUAUGCGAGACGUGUGAAUCCGAGGAUUUCAACGAAACGAAAGAUCGAGCCGCAGUCUUCGAUCCCUUCUCAAUUCUUGCGUUUGUAUCAUAUAAGUAUAUCCGCCGCACGUACGCGCGCAAUUCGAUACAUGUCGCUGUGAACCGAUAGCGACGAUGGAUAUACGAUUAUCACUGCACUUAUUCGUCUUAUUUUCAACUAUAAUACGUCGAUAAUGCGAACAAUGCUUGAUAUUUUUUCAUUAAAACUGUUAACGCCGGGAGGAAGCGCUGCGUAAUCUCGAUAUUGCGAACUGAAAAUUUUCGUCUCGUGUUUGUCCCGACUUAAAGUCAACAAAAAAAAAA